CAUCCCGAACCAAUCUGCUUUGCCGGUAGGCAUUUUAUGGUUACAUCUAUUCUGCAUUACGGGAGUGCCAGCCAUUUCUACAGCAGAGCCCGUGGCUUGUACGGUUGACGAUGUAGACAAGAAAUUAUGAUCGCAACGCCGGGCGUGGCCAAGUCAAGCCAAGUUACGCUUAGCUGUGCCAAGUUAAACCAAGAUAGGUGUGCAAAGAUCCGAGCUUCAGCGUUGAGAUCCACAACAAAUCGGGCGUUUACGGCGCACUAUAUUACAACCAAGCAGACGGCCGGAUCUUCACCUACGACAGCACUACUGCUUUUAUCGAAAAGCUCUGCAGGCUCAGAUUGGAGGAGCUCCCCUCUAGAUUUACACUCGCGGUGUACGACAUGGAAUACGACGACUUCACCAUGGUUUGCGACAAGACUAACAAGACUCUUUGGACGUCCUUGACCCCAAGGUUUUACACCUUGGAUCGAUUCUCGGCUCUCCUUGAGGGGGCAUAUCCUACGAAAGAAUUCGCAUUCUGUCUGUCACUUGGUGAAGCGUGGCGUCAUGUACGACCUUGAGACAUUGGACAAUCAAUAAAUCUUUGAUGCUUGC